AGAACCUGUCUGAUAGGACAGGCACAACGUCGCACCCGGUCGGACGACCGAGGAUCA
rnacentral:rRNA from 1 species